UGUAAUGAGAUCCGAUACCCUCUUCUGGU
rnacentral:piRNA from 1 species